GUUGCCUUUCGUGAUGAGCCAGGGACAGAACGACCAUAGUUCACCCCCUCCUGCCUCUCCCCAGAUCCGACUGCCUUAGGGCCUGCGGCGGCUGUCGAAGCCCGGCGAAUUCGUGAUAGAAGAUGCUGACCUUGAGCUCUUGCUGGAUGUCGUCGAUCGGUUACCCCAGGAGUUCGCCGACAGUUUUGAAAGCCCAGAUCUGGCCCCUCUGGCAUUGUUAACGCCAGACCAAACCAACCCUGCCAUUCAGGCGGACUCGAAUGCUGCUCUGGAUGCGGGCAAUAAGUUGGCGUCGGCGGGCCGGGGAGGCCGCACUGUGGCGAGCGGUGGCGUCGGGAGGCAUCUCCGACUGUCCGCGCAGCCAACUGACAGGGUCAACCCAAAGGCGCUUGGUUGGACAAAGAGGUUACGCCGUAAUGCGCCACCUGACCGGACACCAUGUCCUUCUAGGAUGAGUGCACUAGAGCAGUCAAUUGGCAAAUGUGCAGAAGAGACUGCGAAAAGUGUAAUUAGACUGGAACUCGUCUGAGUUUUGAUUCACUGGGCGAGACGUGCGACCUCUACAACUUGUAUUCAUGGGAGAUCGGAUUUGGAAUUCAGUAUGGCAAAACCAGACUGAACGCCGAGAGGACACAGUCAAUGCAAAAAUCCUUUGCAGCUGCUCGGUGUAUUCUGAAUUCUGCUUAGUUGUUAUGCCAUUUGAUUUUUUUUUUGCUGGACUGUACAUGCAGGGGAAGCCGGAGGCGGAGAAUAGUAGAUCUUGUAGAUGCGAGUGCCCUGCAUUGAGAAGGCUCUUGCCGGCAGCUGAUAACAGUUCAUACAUGACAGAGCACUGUGAGGGGCACAACCAUUCCAUGUCUCUAACGAUGGGAGAGGGCGAUAUCGACGUCUAUUACUAAAGAUUUGCUAAAGCAAUUAAGGGAAAACAGUGUCAACCUCUGAAAGGUGCACAACAUCAUAGACAACUUUGUCGGCCGAUGAUGACGCGAGGAAGACUCUGGAGGUCUUCGCAGCAUUGUCGCCGGGAACCCUGACUUCACAUACUGAGUUUUGGCAAACAGUGAUAGCAGGGUGAAGAACUUUGAUGUGGACUAAUGGAAGCAGCAGAACGCAGUACCGGUUCUUCGGGGAUGUGAUAAUCUUCAAAACAACAUAUAGGACCAACCUCUAUGACAUGCCGUUUGGUCUAUUCGUGGGGGUGAACAAUCAUUUUUAAAGCAUUAUCCUGGCUGGGGUACUGAUAUGCUGCUUGAUAAAUACAAUUUGAGGACGGUGGGGAACACUGAAGGCGGUGACACCCGAGCAAGAAUAGAGGUUCAGUUCCCGGACACGUCGAGCUUGGGGUCGACAGCGAGCGCUUGGAGCACGAACUUGACGCCGGAGCAAGGAGGCCAUGGCAUCGACGACGUGAGCGGAAAUAUUGGUUCUGUUGUGCUGUGAUACAGCCGGAACUCUCUUCAGAGAAGAUUUUGAAGCUAACUGGAUGAUAGGGUCAGAGAUGAUACCCUUGAAGGAUUCAGCAAGCAUGACCCAGCUGCCGUCGCGUUGGCCAGCUAAGAUGGUGUUGACUCUGAUGUGGACAACGGGUCACGCGUGAUGUAUGUGGCCGGAGAGGUUGAUUCCGGUGGAGUAGAGGGAGUUGAGCAAAGUACUGUGUUUGCUCUGCUCCCGUUGUGCAAGAUGGGCACACCAUCUUCAACAGUUUGUUGUGGUGUGCGUGCGGUGUGCUUGAGGUUCCAGACAAAAAGAAAACUCGUUGAGUGUGAUUACGUCAUGAUUUAUGAAGGGAAACUCUAGUUUGUGCUUGUAAAACCCAGUGGCUGAGUACGCGCACAGUUGCAUCUUGUUGACAGUAAAGUUCUUAAAUCUAACUAAAAUUGUUUUGUUU